AGAGAUGUGUGAUGACGCAUAUCAAUAAGCGGAGGAAAAGAAACUAACGAGGAUUCCCUUAGUAACGGCGAGUGAAGCGGGAAGAGCUCAAAUUUGAAAUCUUCAAGGUUCUACCUUGACGAAUUGUAGUUUAUAGAAGUGUUUUCUGUUAGUAGAGUGGCAAAAGUUCUUUGGAAUAGGACAUCAUAGAGGGUGAGAAUCCCGUAUUUGGUCCAUUCUUUCUAGCUUUGUGAUACACUUUCAACGAGUCGGAUUGUUUGGGAAUGCAGUCCAAAAUGGGUGGUAAAUUUCAUCUAAAGCUAAAUAUUGGCGAGAGACCUGAUAGCGAACAAGUACCGUGAGGGAAAGAUGAAAAGAACUUUGAAAAGAGAGUUAAACAGUACGUGAAAUUGUCAAAAGGGAAGCGUUUGACACCAGUGUUGUUUUUCCGAAAAUCAAUUACGAAUGUUUUAUUUUUGAGGAGUUAUGACUUCAUCGGCUUGCUCCUUUCUUUACGAAACUUUCUUAAUGCACCUUUUCGGUUAACAAGUCAACAUCAAUUUCUUUUGUUGUAAAAGAGGUCAUUGAGGAAGGUGGCUUUUCUUUCGGAGAAAGUGUUUAUAGCCUUUGUACCUUCUGCAAUCGGAGAGAUUGAGGUCUGCAGCGUAGAUCCUUCGGGGUUAGAUACAGUUUGUGCUAAGCUAUAGCCUUUUCAUAGACAACUUGUUGACUAUGCUCAGUCAUGCUAGCUUACUCGCUUAUGCUAUUUUACCUACGCUUAGGAUGUUGAAGUCAUCGUAUCGCGC
rnacentral:rRNA from 1 species